GAUGAACGCUGGCGGCGUGCCUAAUACAUGCAAGUCGAGCGAACAGAUGAGGAGCUUGCUCCUCUGACGUUAGCGGCGGACGGGUGAGUAACACGUGGAUAACCUACCUAUAAGACUGCGAUAACUUCGGGAAACCGGAGCUAAUACCGGAUAAUAUAUUGAACCGCAUGGUUCAAUAGUGAAAGACGGUUUUGCUGUCACUUAUAGAUGGAUCCGCGCCGCAUUAGCUAGUUGGUAAGGUAACGGCUUACCAAGGCAACGAUGCGUAGCCGACCUGAGAGGGUGAUCGGCCACACUGGAACUGAGACACGGUCCAGACUCCUACGGGAGGCAGCAGUAGGGAAUCUUCCGCAAUGGGCGAAAGCCUGACGGAGCAACGCCGCGUGAGUGAUGAAGGUCUUCGGAUCGUAAAACUCUGUUAUUAGGGAAGAACAAAUGUGUAAGUAACUAUGCACGUCUUGACGGUACCUAAUCAGAAAGCCACGGCUAACUACGUG
rnacentral:rRNA from 1 species